rnacentral:rRNA from 1 species
CUACGGAGGGGGCUAGCGUUGUCCGGAAUCAUUGGGCGCAAAGGGUUCGUAGGCGGUAAUACAUGUCAGAUGUGAAAUCUUGUGGCUUAACCACCUCAAGCAUCUGCAACUGUAUAACUUGUGUGAAGGAGUGGUAAGUGGAAUUACUAGUGUAGCGGUGAAAUGCGUAGAUAUUAGGAAGAAUACCAGUAGCGAAGGCGACUUACUGGCCUUUAACUGACGCUGAGGAACGAAAGCGUGGGUAGCAAACAGGAUUAGAUACCCUGGUAGUCCACGCCGUAAACGAUGAGUGCUAGGUGUCGGGUGUCAAAGCUCGGUGCCGCAGUUAACGCAAUAAGCACUCCGCCUGGGGAGUACGUACGCAAGUAUGAAACUCAAAGGAAUUGACGGGG